rnacentral:rRNA from 1 species
GACGAACGCUGGCGGCGUGCUUAACACAUGCAAGUCGAACGGAAAGGCCCUGCUUUUGUGGGGUGCUCGAGUGGCGAACGGGUGAGUAACACGUGAGUAACCUGCCCUUGACUUUGGGAUAACUUCAGGAAACUGGGGCUAAUACCGGAUAGGAGCUCCUGCUGCAGGGGGGGGGUGGGAAGGUUUCGGCGGUUGGGGAUGGACUCGCGGCUUAUCAGCUUGUUGGUGGGGUAGUGGCUUACCAAGGCUUUGACGGGUAGCCGGCCUGAGAGGGUGACCGGCCACAUUGGGACUGAGAUACGGCCCAGACUCCUACGGGAGGCAGCAGUGGGGAAUAUUGCACAAUGGGCGGAAGCCUGAUGCAGCAACGCCGCGUGCGGGAUGACGGCCUUCGGGUUGUAAACCGCUUUCGCCUGUGACGAAGCGUGAGUGACGGUAAUGGGUAAAGAAGCACCGGCUAACUACGUG